GGAGGAAAGUAGGGGAUCGCAAGACCUGGCGCUUUUUGAGCGGCCGAUGCCUGAUUAGCUAGUUGGUAAGGUAAUGGCUUACCAAGGCAACGAUCAGUAGCUGGUCUGAGAGGACGACCAGCCACACUGGGACUGAGACACGGCCCAGACUCCUACGGGAGGCAGCAGUGGGGAAUUUUGGACAAUGGGCGAAAGCCUGAUCCAGCCAUGCCGCGUGAGUGAAGAAGGCCUUCGGGUUGUAAAGCUCUUUCGGUCGGGAAGAAAUAGUUGUGGCUAAUAUCCACAAUGAAUGACGGUACCGACAUAAGAAGCACCGGCUAACUACGUGCCAGCAGCCGCGGUAAUACGUAGGGUGCAAGCGUUAAUCGGAAUUAUUGGGCGUAAAGGGUGCGCAGGCGGUUGUAUAAGUCAGAUGUGAAGUCCCUGGGCUUAACCUAGGAAUUGCGUUUGAAACUACAAAGCUAG
rnacentral:rRNA from 1 species